UAAUUAAUUCACCUGAGAGUUGAGGCAGUUGUUCUUGAUGUUGUGGUGGAAGUGUAGGUCGAUGAGGCAGUCGUUCUUGAUGUUGUUGUGGUGGGAGUGUAGGUUGUUGAUGUUGUUGUGGUGGGAGUGUAGGUUCUUGAUGUUGCUGUGGUGGGAGUGUAGGUUCUUGAUGUUGUUGUGUUGGGAGUGGAGAUUGCCGUGGUGGGAGUGGAGGUUGUUGAUGUUGUUGUGGUGGGAGUGGAGGUUGUUGAUGUUGUUGUGGUGGGAGUGGAGGUUGUUGACAUUAAGGUUGGGGUACUGG
ensembl:lncRNA